UGGGGAAUUUUGGACAAUGGGCGAAAGCCUGAUCCAGCAAUGCCGCGUGUGUGAAGAAGGCCUUCGGGUUGUAAAGCACUUUUGUCCGGAAAGAAAUCCUUGGCUCUAAUACAGUCGGGGGAUGACGGUACCGGAAGAAUAAGCACCGGCUAACUACGUGCCAGCAGCCGCGGUAAUACGUAGGGUGCAAGCGUUAAUCGGAAUUACUGGGCGUAAAGCGUGCGCAGGCGGUUUGCUAAGACCGAUGUGAAAUCCCCGGGCUCAACCUGGGAACUGCAUUGGUGACUGGCAGGCUAGAGUAUGGCAGAGGGGGGUAGAAUUCCACGUGUAGCAGUGAAAAUGCGUAGAGAUGUGGAGGAAUACCGAUGGCGAAAGGCAGCCCCCUGGGCCAAAUACUGACGCUCAUGCACGAAAAGCGUGGGGAGCAAAACAGGAUUAGAUACCCUGGUAGUCCACGCCCUAAAACGAUGUCAACUAGUUGUUGGGGAUUCAUUUCCUUAGUAACGUAGCU
rnacentral:rRNA from 1 species